CCUUUUGGGUGGGAAAUGCCUAAAGAUCAACUUUUGAGAAGCUAACUCAGAAGAUGCAUUAUGAUUACUCUACUAGCAAGGUUUUGGAAUGAUCUACUCUAAAACAUCCUAGCUCUAACCUAAUCACCCUUAAUCUUCCUAACCCAUGAAUUUAAAUGGUGAUUACUCACUACUCUUCAUGAUUCCUCUUAAACCCAUUUUGGAUUUCAGAUUAAUCAUACAGAGGGAUACAACAACGAAUUGGAAAACAUAGAAUUGCAAAUACUAGAUGAACAAAGAUGAUUCAAGAGAUGAACUUUCCAAAGGUUUUUUCUUAGAACAAAGAUAAUCUGUCUGGUGGCUGCCAAAAGUACAUAAAACAUAGGUUUUCAGAAGUAAAAACGUGCAUAAUGAAAUGACCAAAAGACCCUUGAGUAGAAAUGAAUUCGAGCAAACAGAAGGCGCGCAGCAACCUCCAGUAGUCGCUCCGGGAGGUCGCUCCAGGCUUCGGGAGCGACCUGGAGGGGUCGCUGCGAGAUGUUGCUCUGGGUCGCUCUUCGCGAGCGACCUCACUGUGUCACUCCGGUCACGUUGCUCUGGGUGAUGGAGACGCGAGCGACAUCGGGGUGUCGCUCUGCCCAAGUCGCUCUGAAAGGGUGUCACAGCGACUUCACGAUGUCGCUCCGGCGAGGUCGCUCCCAUGCACUGCUCGUCCAAUGAUCACCUUUAUCACCUCUUUUGAGCUCCAAAUGCACCCAAAUAUCUCCAAGAACUCCAUGUGGUACUCCAAUACCUGAUAAGGACUCAUGUAUGCAAAAUGCAACCUAAACAUGGCUAAAUCCUAGUCUAUAUGAUCAAAAUGCACAUGGAUGAAUGGAUUAGACAUUGGAAAUAUGCAAGAUAUCAGCGAGGCACCUCACGUUUGCUGGAAGACUUCAGCUUAUAGGUUCUGUCUUGUAUGGCAUUACAAGUUUCUGGAUGUCUGCCUUCAGAUUGCCAAACCAGUGUAUCCAAGAGAUAAAUAGUAUCUGCGCGGCUUUCUUAUGGUCUGGACCAGUGCUCUCAACUCAUAAAUCAAAGAUAUCAUGGGUUGAUGUUUGUAAACCGAAAGAUGAAGGUGGGUUGGGGUUGCGCAAUCUCACUGAAGCAAAUAAUGUUUACUGCUUAAAGCUUAUUUGGAGACUGUUAUCUACUCGAUCUUCUCUGUGGGUGCGUUGGAUUUGGAAGUAUCUUAUGAGGAAGGUAUCGUUUUGGAGUGUUAAAGAGAGCAGCUUGUUGGGUUCUUGGAUGUGGAAGAAACCGUUGAAACUCAGGCCUUUAGCUUAUCAGUUAACUCAAGUGGAUAUUCAGAGUGGUUCAAACACUUACUUCUCGUGGGAUAAUUGGUCUUCUUUGGGAAAAUUGAUUGAGCUAACAGGGGAAGGUGGUUGUAUUGCUCUGGGUAUACCUCUGUACACUACGGUGGAAAGAGCUAUCCAGCUGUAUCGUUCAAGAUUGCAUAGGCCCCCGGUGUUUAGACAGAUAGAACAUGAGGUGAUGAGAUUGAAAAACAGAGGUCUUAACACUUUGGAGGAUGAUUUUUUGUGGAAGAGGGAAAAUGGGGAUAUUAAGCCGGGUUUUCUUACUUCUCACACAUGGAACAUUACAAAAAAUGUGUCGCCGAAGGUGGGGUGGAGCAAAGGGAUCUGGUUCUCGGAGGCUACUCCCAAGUUUGUUUUCAUAGCGUGGCUUGCUAUGCAUAAUAGGCUUGCCACAUGAGACAGGGUGUUAAAAUGGAAUCCUCAAGCCAUCACUACUUGCUGGCUUUGCAAGGUGGAGAAUGAAACCAGAGAUCAUUUGUUUUUUUAUUGUCUCUAUUCAAGAGAAGUGUGAAAGGGGGCCACUGGUAAUCUGGCGGGAAAUGGUGGUUGGAGUUGGAAUCAGGUGAUUCAAGUGGUGGUGAAUGGUUUGCAGGAGAGAGUUGCUACUUUCCUUUUGAGAUAUAGCUUUCAAGCAGUGAUCUAUGGCCUUUGGCAAGAGAGGAAUGUUAGAAGAGUGGGAGAAUCUUCCCAGCCAGCAAAUUGUUUGACUGUUCGGAUGGAUAAGCUGGUGAGGAAUAGAAUCACCUCCCUUUGGAAGAAGAAUGACAGAAAAUAUGAGAGAGUAAUGGAAGUGUGGAUGGGGAGGAGCUGAGUUUUCUUCUCUUUUUGAGUUUUAUUAGAUUGAGUUAUGUUUUGUUCUCAGUCUUAAAAAAUUAGCAGUAUCUCUGUACAAAAGUUUUUUUUGAUAUGAAUAAAUUUAAAAUUUUUUCAAAAAAAAAAAACAGAUAGUACCAGGACUGGCUUUACUGGUUGCAAGCAAACUCGCUUGACAAAGACACCACGUAAAGAGCUUCCACAAGAGAGGAUCUUCUUCAAGCAUGUGCAGCCAUUGUGGUCGAAUUUGAGGACCCAACAGACUGACUACCAAAUUGUCGUUGCCUCACUGCUGGCUGCUUUCCAGAGCACACAUAUCUUUCCAGUGUGACCCCCCAGUUCCAUAGCUGGAGUUGAGAGUUGCUGAGCCCAGUUGCAACAUGACAAGCAUCAAGUACCCCAGGUGAUGCACAGAUACUGUCUCUUCACCAAUGCUCAGAAGAACAAUAACAAGAACAAGGUUACACAAGUAGACACAAAGAAGAAGCCAAAGACUGAUUUUUUUGUGUGUGUGUAGACGAUGAGAACAGUGCCUUUAAGACAAAACUUUUCGAAAAUUUCAAGACUUUACCUAAGUUACCGUUAGUGAAAGCGAGUUUAUUGAGCUUGGAGUGGUACAAUGAUGCAGAGGAGCUUGAGGAGAAGGUUUUAGGCGGAGGAGGUAACUGGACGAACAAGGAGGGGACGUGGAGAAGAAGAGGGAGUUAGGACUUAGGACUGGAGUGGAGAUAUGAAGAUGGCGAUCCCUGCUCUGAGAAGUCAGGGACGGUGGCUGAUAAAAUCACUUCCUUGGAGAUCAUGGUUUGAGAGAAUCCCAUUGCUAACAUUAGGUCUCUUGAUUUCUUAUUGGGUAUGUCUAGGUUUACUUUAGUUGAUGUUGAUGUCUCAUUUGUGUUAUCUACUUGCUGACUUGGUUGGAGAUGUUCAUUGCAGGAAGGAAUGGUGACCUCAAAGGUAUAUCCUUUACCAGCUUAAAUACCACUCUGCACCCCCUAGCUUCUUUACUAAGCGCACUUCUCCAGGUUUUGAGUCUUGAUGAGUUAUAACUUAUAAUAUAUAUUCAUAUUAGACAUUUGAGUAAUAUAAAAUGUGGUUCUGCCUACUGGAUGAUGCAAGAUUUCAUGGUAGUUGUCUGGUUGCUAAUAGAUUUGAUGGGUUAUUUUGCACGGUACCAUGCAUCGUCAGAAUCUUUACCAUAGUAAUUGUUUUUUGUUGUUGGUUUCAGACUAUAUAUUUCAUGUUGACAAGCAAAUCAGAACAGGAGCGAAACUUGCUUGUGUCAAUUAUUCUUCGGAAUAUUUAUAGUGCUAAUUACUUAGAAUGACUCUAAUCAUGUUACUAAAUACUUGAAUGACUCUUAUAAUUUUGUAAAUACUAGAAUAAAUGGCAACACAUACAAAAUUACUAAAAUACCACCCUUCUAAACACAUUUACUUAUUAUAAUUUAUUAAUAAAAAUAUAUACAUUAUAAUUAAAAAAAAGGAAACAAAGAAACCUGUCGGAUCUUCUUCCUCACGACACUCUUCCAUCUUCAUCUCCUACCAAUCUCCGACGCCACCAUCUCCAUCUCCACUCAACCUUCAUCACUUCUAUCUCCACCGUCAAUCUUCUUCAUCUCCGUUUUCCUCUACAUCUCCAUCGAGUUCGUCUCUGUCAUCGGUGAGACAAAAUAACUCGAUUUCAAAUCGGUCCUCCACCAUAAAUCGAGUUACUUGAUUCUGUAUGGCUUCUUCUUCGGGUUCAAAGUAUCCUCGUCGUCUCUAUGAUGUUGGCAAAACCCCAAUUCAGAGUAGGAGCAUGAACCAUAGUUGUUUCUUGUCCAACGUUCAAACCGUGCUAGAAUCUGUUGGGGAUGAUGUUGUGUCUGACUUGAGGGAAUCAGCUGUUGGAGUGAUUGUGAAGCUGAAAGAGUUGGAAUACACUUGGUCUGCCUCUUGCGUUCACCAUUUUCUUGUCAAUCAAUUGGCCAUAGAGAGCAGUCAUGAGAUGUGGUCGUUGAUAGAUUGUAUGCCGUAGCGGUUCUCUCUAUAUGAGUUUGAAGAAAUUACAGGACUAAAUUGUGAUCCUUUCGAUAAGGAUGAGAUUUGGGAUGUGGAGCAUGAAAGUUUUUGGCUGGACAUGAAAGUUCCGACUUCAGAAGGUCCUACAUUGAAAGAGCUACAAGCCGUUUUAACUAUUUGCAGAAAUUGGUCUCGAGAGAAGCGAUUGAUGGUAGGUUUGUUGUGUCUGCUAUGCAUUGGGAUUUUUGGAAUUUCGAGCAACAGUAGAAUUCCUUUGCAAUGUGCUAAAAGGGUGAUGGACCCAGAAGCUUUCCAGAGAUAUCCAUGGGGUCGUGUAGGAUUUAGCAGCCUUCUUGAGUCUAUUAAAGUACUCACAUAUGAAAGAAAGAAGAGUUACACACUUCAUGGCUGUGUUCAUGUUCUCUUAAUAUGGAUUUUUGAGUCUGUCCCUGGUCUAGGAGAGAAAUUUGGGAACCGGAUAGAAGGAGCUGAUGUCCCUCUUCUGUCAUGGCUGGGGUCUCGUCCGAGUAUCAACUUCUCAGAUUUCUGUGCCCAAGAAAAGCGAAAUCAUGGGAAGUUAUGAAGAGAAGUAUUAUUCUUUUAGGGAAGUUGACUAGAAUGACUCUAAUUAGUUUAAAAAUGACUAGAAUAACUCUUAAAAAAUUAAAAUUACUAACAAUAUUUUUUGGUCAAAAAUACCCCUGAUUAUAGUUAUGAUCAAAAAGUAAUAUUACAAAAAUGCCAUUUAAAAUUAUUAAAAAAAAUUCGACGGCAGAUUUAUUUAACGAAAAACAAAUCUAUUUGAAGAUAAAUCUGUUAAAUUAAACUGUUGUAAAAUUUAUAUCUGCCAUGUAUUUGAUGGCCGAGUUUUCUGUUACAGCAGAUGUUUUUAAGCUAGCAGAUUUGUGUGGCCAAUUUAAUAAUGUUGAAAGAUUUAUCUUUAAAAGUCUGUCAUAUGUAGUAACCGAUUUGUUGAAGUUAUCAGUUUUUUUUUGGAA